rnacentral:lncRNA from 10 species
GGGCAUGUAGGUUGAUUCCAUGUCUGUGAUUGUGAAUGGUGCUGUGACGAGCAUACACAGGCACGUGUCUGUACAGUAGAACAAUUUAUAUUCCUUUGGGUAUAUACCCAGUAAUGGGAUUGCUGGUUUUAAAAUUGUUUAUAGAGAUGGGGGUCUCGCUAUGUUACCCAGGCUCAAGCAAUCCUCCCACCUCAGCCUCCCAAUGGAGGCCUGCGAUGAUGGGUGCUGCUGACCUGUGCACAGCCCUUGACAGCUUGCAGAGCACCUCCAGCUGUGGCUUCUUGUUUGACAUACCUGCUCAGUAGGUACCACUGGUCUAUUUCACUCAAGAGGAAGCUGUCUCACAGAGAGGCAAAGCCACUUGCUCAAGGUCACACAGUGAGCAAUGCAAGCCCUUCUGACUCUGGGCCUGGAGCUCGUCCCAUACCAUCUCCCUGCCUCCUUCCCAGCCCCUCCUCCGAGCCCUCCAUCCUACUCUGUGC